AUUGAACGCUGGCGGCAUGCCUUACACGUGCAAGUCGAACGGUAACAGGUCUUCGGAUGCUGACGAGUGGCGCACGGGUGAGUAAUACAUCGGAACGUGCCCGAUCGUGGGGGAUAACGAGGCGAAAGCUUUGCUAAUACCGCAUACGAUCUACGGAUGAAAGCGGGGGAUCUUCGGACCUCGCGCGGACGGAGCGGCCGAUGGCAGAUUAGGUAGUUGGUGGGAUAAAAGCUUACCAAGCCGACGAUCUGUAGCUGGUCUGAGAGGAUGAUCGGCCACACUGGGACUGAGACACGGCCCAGACUCCUACGGGAGGCAGCAGUGGGGAAUUUUGGACAAUGGGCGAAAGCCUGAUCCAGCCAUGCCGCGUGCAGGAUGAAGGCCUUCGGGUUGUAAACUGCUUUUGUACGGAACGAAAAGCCUCUUUCUAAUAAAGAGGGGUCAUGACGGUACCGUAAGAAUAAGCACCGGCUAACUACGUG
rnacentral:rRNA from 1 species